rnacentral:rRNA from 1 species
ACAUGAAUGUAGCAAUACAUUCGAUGGCGACCGGCGCACGGGUGAGUAACACGUAUGCAACCUACCUUCCACCGGGGCAUAGCCCGGAGAAAUCCGGAUUAAUACCCCAUAACACAGGGAUGCCGCAUGGCAAUAUUUGUUAAAGAACUUCGGUAGAAGAUGGGCAUGCGUUCCAUUAGGUAGUUGGUGAGGUAACGGCUCACCAAGCCAACGAUGGAUAGGGGAACUGAGAGGUUUAUCCCCCACACUGGAACUGAGACACGGACCAGACUCCUACGGGAGGCAGCAGUGAGGAAUAUUGGUCAAUGGACGCAAGUCUGAACCAGCCAAAUCGCGUGAAGGAAGACUGCCUUAUGGGUUGUAAACUUCUUUUAUAAGGGAAUAAAAAGAGAUACGCGUAUCUUAUUGCACGUACCUUAUGAAUAAGCAUCGGCUAACUCCGUGCCAGCAGCCGCGGUAAUACGGAGGAUGCGAGCGUUAUCCGGAUUUAUUGGGUUUAAAGGGUGCGCAGGCGGGACCUUAAGUCAGCGGUGAAAUUUCAAGGCUUAACCUUGACACUGCCGUUGAAGCUGGGAUCCUUGAGUAUAGAUGAAGUAG